rnacentral:rRNA from 1 species
GACGAACGCUGGCGGCGUGCCUAAUACAUGCAAGUAGAACGCUGAAGGAGGAGCUUGCUUCUCUGGAUGAGUUGCGAACGGGUGAGUAACGCGUAGGUAACCUGCCUGGUAGCGGGGGAUAACUAUUGGAAACGAUAGCUAAUACCGCAUAAGAGUAGAUGUUGCAUGACAUUUGCUUAAAAGGUGCAAUUGCAUCACUACCAGAUGGACCUGCGUUGUAUUAGCUAGUUGGUGGGGUAACGGCUCACCAAGGCGACGAUACAUAGCCGACCUGAGAGGGGGGUCCGCCACACUGGGACUGAGACACGGCCCAGACUCCUACGGGAGGCAGCAGUAGGGGAUCUUCGGCCAUGGACGGAAGUCUGACCGGGCAACGCCGCGUGAGUGAAGAAGGUUUUCGGAUCGUAAAGCUCUGUUGUAAGAGAAGAACGAGUGUGAGAGUGGAAAGUUCACACUGUGACGGUAUCUUACCAGAAAGGGACGGCUAACUACGUG